GAGAGGUAAAGGCAUCACGGGCUAGAGUUUGGACCGAUUUGAGGCAUUUCUGAAUCCGAUAGCGGGUGCUGAUUGCUUAGUGGCAGAGUCAUCAGAGUUAGAGAGAUUUAGGCAUUUCUAAAUCUGAUAGCGGGUGCUGAUUGUUUAGUGGCAGAGUCAUCGGAGUUAGCGAGGUAGCUGCCCGACGUUCGCAGCACUGCUUUUCUCCCUCUUGUC